rnacentral:tRNA from 1 species
GGUCCGUUCGUAUAACGGUUAGUACGUAACCUUCACACGGUUAAAACGCCGGUUCGAUUCCGGCACGGAUCA